UAAUAUGCUAGAGUAGAAAAUCUCAACAGCCCACUACAGCCGGGUGAGUAUAAAGUUAAAACAUUAAUUGUUAAAUUAAAUAUACAAAUAAAAUGUACAUGAAUGUAAUGACGUCACAUCAUUCAAAGUUAGGUAAAGGGUCGAAUACGGAGCUGCGCACUAGAUGCCGCAUCGCUGCGACACUUUGAACCUUCGGCUCUUCUAGUGCACUCGUAUUUUACCGCGUUUAUUUGGAUCCUACUUCCCAUAGACAAUAAAGGAAUAUCAAGAAUGACUUCACCGGCGAUAAGUAAAUCACCCGAAAAGCAAAAGUCAGAGAGCAAGUCUCCAUCACAUGCUUCCAUCAACACGCAACAAGCAAAUACAUCCUCAGAGCCGCCUCGGACCGAUCCUUUUAGUUGCUUACGAAUUUUCAAACUUGCAGGACUAAUGAUGAAACAAGGAUGUUAAUGUGUACCUAGCAAAUGUAGCAUGUUCAAGAUAGCUUAUUUUUUUAAGUCAUAUCUGCCGCGAAGUGAGAAAUCAAAUUAAAAAAUAUCAUUCUUAGUAUACUUACUUCUUAGAUAGAUUUGAGAGAUAUUGGGAGUGAAGAUAUUUUUCUAAUUUAUUUCAUUAUAAAAGCUAGUAAUAGUAAUCUUUCUAUUCAUACCGGAUGUAGUCCUAUAUGUAUAUUGGUAAUUGUUAAAUAUUGUACUGCCAUCAGGACCAUUCACAUUAGACAGUCAAUAACGGUUUCCUCGCCAUCAAUAUUCGGCUAUUUUUUGUUUGGAAAAUUUAUAAGUGUACAAGCACAUUUCACCAGAAUAUUUCGGGUUAUAUGAUGCUCUCAGGUAAUUUUGAAAAACAAUAUUUAAAGUGAAAUCAUGUUUGGAGUUUUAAAGAAAAUGUUUUAGAAGCGAUGAGCAAGUUAUAGUCAUCUUGUAGUUUCUAUCUUAAAAUGAAUCUAUGUAUGUUUGUUCUAGCAUGAUUGUUAAAAUGUUUAUGUUUAAUAAACUUUAUUAAUAUAAGA